CCAAGCGCUGGUCCUGGCGCGGCUUCGUGGCCCUAUGUCCCGCUGGCGAAGUACGAAGCUAUGCGGCUGUCGGGUGGCACAGGUCCGGAGCCUCGCGUUUGCGGAUCGCGGCGGCGGAGCCCGGGGAGAGUUGGACUUCCAUUUACCAUACCCAAGGUGAUCUCCCUGUUGCAACAAGGAGAAGAUCACUGGAAGGCAGAGAAAGAAAGGCUUGGAGACUCUGCUCUUGGUGGUGAGUCUGGCUAAGAGUGUGCAGCUUAGCAUGUUGGCUGGGAAACUUCUUCAGAUUGUCAGUGCUCAAGAAGUGAUGGGGAGGUGAGCAUGGGAGUGCGUGCCUGCAGUCAGGAAACGUGGUGUAUUUAAGGGAUUGCAAGUAAUUCAUUCUGGCUGAAGCUCAGGGGAUGUACAGGAAAAGAGACCAGAAAGGAAAUGAGAUUGAAGACUCUGUAAGGGUCACAUCAUAAGAGCUUCAGUGCAGUUCUAAGAGAGUUGAGCUGUCCCAUGGAUGACUGGAAAUAUUUGAGGAACUUAAAUAGAGCAUUAUAUAAUCCUUGACAGUUUGAAAAGCAAAUCUUCUUUUGGUAAUAGGGUUUUAUUGCAUUUAUUGAUACCUUCUGGAGGUGGUGGCAGUGGUAGUGAGUGGUGUUAGAGAUCGAUCUCAGGGCUUCAUUCAUGUUAGGCAAGUGUUCUCCGCUGUACUAUGCCCUCAGCCCCUUACUGAUUUUCAUUAGGAAGAUUUUAGAAGUUUUUAUCUGUAUCAACUUUAAAUAGAAUUAUUUCUGUAAUAGUUGUUUUGUGAGAACAGUGUAGGCCCCUUCCCAUAAUAUCAAAACCUUUGUAAUACUUUCAUUCAUUACUGUUUUAGGAUGCCGUCUCUCUUGGGAGGCUGAGACAGGAGGAUCUCAACUUUCAGGCCAGCUUGGGCAACACAGCGAGACCCUGUUUCACUAAAAAAAAAAAAAAGUUGAUUUGGAUGUAUAUCUAAAUCUUGGUUUUAUGAGUGCUUAAUGAGAAAAUAAAAAGGAAAACUUUCAUGUGAAAGAUCCUGGA
rnacentral:lncRNA from 1 species